rnacentral:tRNA from 1 species
UGGGGCCAUAGCUCAGCUGGGAGAGCACCUGCCUUGCACGCAGGGGGUCGGGAGUUCGAUCCUCCCUGGCUCCACC